rnacentral:rRNA from 1 species
GACGAACGCUGGCGGCGUGCUUAACACAUGCAAGUCGAACGGUAAGGCCCUUCGGGGUACACGAGUGGCGAACGGGUGAGUAACACGUGGGUGAUCUGCCCUGCACUUCGGGAUAAGCCUGGGAAACUGGGUCUAAUACCGGAUAGGACCACUGCCUGCAUGGGUGGUGGUGGAAAGCUUUUGCGGUGUGGGAUGGGCCCGCGGCCUAUCAGCUUGUUGGUGGGGUGAUGGCCUACCAAGGCGACGACGGGUAGCCGGCCUGAGAGGGUGACCGGCCACACUGGGUCUGAGAUACGGCCCAGACUCCUACGGGAGGCAGCAGUGGGGAAUAUUGCACAAUGGGCGCAAGCCUGAUGCAGCAACGCCGCGUGAGGGAUGACGGCCUUCGGGUUGUAAACCUCUUUUAGUAGGGAAGAAGCGAAAGUGACGGUACCUGCAGAAAAAGCACCGGCUAACUACGUGCCAGCAGCCGCCGUAA